rnacentral:rRNA from 4 species
UAAGUCAGCCACGAAUAGGCUAUCCCAACUAACGGCGGGAAAGACUCCACGGAGGGUGUAAGACCCGUGUGGGCGCGUGUUAAAGCUGUGUGGGCUCGGCCUCCAUUCCCUGAGAGUCGCGUUGCUUGAGCAUGCAGCGCUAAGCAGGUCGUAAACUCGAUCUAAGGCUAAAUAUUUCCACAGAACCGAUAGCGAACAAGUACCGUGAGGGAAAGUUGAAAAGCACUCUGGAGAGAGAGUCAAAAGACCGUGAAACCGCUCAGAGUAUAAGCCCAUGGCAGCUUGGAAGGCAUAUCGCUAGCGGGGCAUCGGUCUCCCUUCGCGGGGAGCUGGUGUUACCUUGCUUCUGUUGUGGCUCGUCAUGGUAGGGGGGUCAGGUCCACAUCCCGCCGUCGUGUGGGGGGUUCUUGGGUGUGUUGUGGUUUCUCGGUUGGCUUCGGCUUUCCGGGGGGCUCUUCGUGCUCGGUUCCCUUUUAGACACGGACGUUCAGACUCAGUUGUAAGACGCGAUAACCAGCCCACCACGGCACGUUGUGAGGUCACCCACAGGCUCGACUUUCGAUCGUGAGCCUUGACGCCGAGCAAGCACAAUGCGUGUCGCAGAGGUUCCUAACCAGGCAAAGAUGCCAGGAUCGUGGAACGACACGCGCUCAACAGUCAGGUUCGGGCGGAGACAGAGUUCUGGUACGAUCCUCUUGCGACGAGCCGGCUUCUGGCCGACAUCCGAUGCUCAGGUCUCCCGCAUGUGCCGCGGGAGAUCGCUUUGACGGUCUGGA